AGUAAUGCGUGGGUAACCUGCCUUGUACAGGGGGAUAACAGUUGGAAACGGCUGCUAAUACCGCAUAAGCGCACGGCAUCGCAUGAUGCAGUGUGAAAAACUCCGGUGGUAUAAGAUGGACCCGCGUUGGAUUAGCUAGUUGGUGAGGUAACGGCCCACCAAGGCGACGAUCCAUAGCCGACCUGAGAGGGUGACCGGCCACAUUGGGACUGAGACACGGCCCAA
rnacentral:rRNA from 1 species